rnacentral:lncRNA from 11 species
UGAUGGCAUCACGGCGAUGCACAAAACAACAAAUCUACAGGCCCCCCAAACUCGAAAAUUGGCAACGCAAUCCAUCAUCCCCGCCUCCAGUACGAAACAACAAAAUAUCACACAAACAACAAUCACAGGGCCAAAAACCACAACAGCUGUGAAUCUCAAAGGCUCCUUUAAGAGCCAGCCUCUAUUCUGGGGAAACUACAGUUCCCAUCAUGCUUUGCCAUGCCUCUUCCCCAAUGGCAGGGAGAGUUUACAACGUUUCCUUAGCUACUGGAUGGAAAACUUCCAUUCUUCCUCCUUUGGUUAUACAACAGACAACCUUGGGUUAUACAAAACCAGCACCUCGUGGCUCAAGUGACUUCACUCCAAUCGAUAUUAAAUAACAAUCAUAAAACAAUACAUUAAUCAGUCAAUAAAUAGGCAAUAUACUUUCCUCCUGUUUUUCUCCCAACAGUUUCCAAAAAGCGAACCUCUGAGGAUGUGCAAAGUUUCUUUUCUCUGCCAUUCUGUUCUCUCUAUUGUGUAUAAGGGGUGGCUUUUAAAUACCCCAUAAUAUUAUAAUGCUAUCACAAUAAUAAGGCUUUUUAAUACUCCAUACUAUAAUAAUAAUAAUAAUAAUAAUAAUAAUAAUAAUAAUAAUAACACUUAACCAUCAUUGGAUCUUCAAACCAAAUCUCAUCAGAUUAAUUACC